rnacentral:snRNA from 1 species
UGUGUCUUGGAAACCGUAGAAUUU